CGAACGCUGGCGGCGUGCUUGACACAUGCAAGUCGAACGGAAAGGCCUGCUUUCCCUUGUGGAUUGCGGGUACUCGAGUGGCGAACGGGUGAGUAACACGUGAGUGAUCUGCCCCCAACUUGGGUAUAAGCCUGGGAAACUGGGUCUAAUUCCCGAUAGGACUGCAGGGUGGUGCCUGUGGUGGAAAACGAUUUUCUAGUGGUUGGGGAUGAGCUCGCGGCCUAUCAGCUUGUUGGUGGGGUAAUGGCCUACCAAGGCGGCGACGGGUAGCCGGCCUGAGAGGGUGGACGGCCACAUUGGGACUGAGAUACGGCCCAGACUCCUACGGGAGGCAGCAGUGGGGAAUAUUGCACAAUGGGCGGAAGCCUGAUGCAGCGACGCCGCGUGGGGGAUGACGGCCUUCGGGUUGUAAACUCCUUUCGACCGCGAGGAAGCCACCUGGUUGGAAGGGUGGUGACGGUAGUGGUAGAAGAAGCACCGGCUAACUACGUG
rnacentral:rRNA from 1 species